CACGUGACUCGGCUCGGAGGACCCGGCACCAUGGAGACCGCCGACGGUUCUCCUAGAAGGGCCCCGCCCCCACCGGAAGGCGAGGCGGGGACGCCUCUCGGGGAGGCGCGGGCGUCCCUUAGAGGCCUACACUCUCUCCGCGGAAGGCGGGCGUCUCUAUGUUUUGUUGAGGACCAGUGAAAACAUCACCUCAAGGCAUCAGUUCUUGGACCAGCACCUGAGAACCAUCUUGUAUUUUCCCAAACCUUAGUCUGGCCAUAUGUCAAGUAGCUAUCCUCUAGACUGAAUCUAGCAUUAGACUCACAAUGUUUUAAGAGGAUUUGCUGGGAUGAUAGGCCAUGCUUUUAGCCAUCCUGCUAGACUGCUUCCAUGUUCAAGUGGAAGUGGUACCACCACACCGUUUCCUACUGUGCUGAAGGGGAGGCCAGUGGGGAGCCAGAAGGCACUAGGUACAAGCACUUGUGUGGGAAAGGAUGCCAGGAAUGGAGACCGGACACCACAAAGGGAAAGCUGGAAGAAAUCACAGCAGCUCAGGCACAUCACUGUGGCUUUCCUAGGGUGAUGGAGUUUUGCCUGGGAGCGGUUCUGUGCCCACACAUCAUGCCACCCUGUGUCUCCAGCACAAAUAUGAGGCCUGGGACUGACAGGCCCAUCCUGAUGUACUACCUUGUCUUAAGUUACAGUGGAGGGAUGCCUGGGUAGCUCAGUUGGUUAAGUGUCUGCCUUCGGUCCAGGUCAUGGUCCCAGGGUCCUAAGAUCAAGCCCCACAUUAGGAUCCCUGCUCAGCAGGGUGUCUCUUCUCCCUCUCCCUCAUAUAUAUAUAUAUAUAUAUAUCUCAAAUAAAUAAAGUAUUUUUUUAAGUUACA
rnacentral:lncRNA from 1 species